GACGAACGCUGGCGGCGUGCUUAACACAUGCAGGUCGAACGGUAAGGCCCUUCGGGGUACACGAGUGGCGAACGGGUGAGUAACACGUGGGUGAUCUGCCCUGCACUUCGGGAUAAGCCUGGGAAACUGGGUCUAAUACCGGAUAGGACCACUGCCUGCAUGGGUGGUGGGGGAAAGCUUUUGCGGUGUGGGAUGGGCCCGCGGCCUAUCAGCUUGUUGGUGGGGUGAUGGCCUACCAAGGCGACGACGGGUAGCCGGCCUGAGAGGGUGACCGGCCACACUGGGACUGAGAUACGGCCCAGACUCCUACGGGAGGCAGCAGUGGGGAAUAUUGCACAAUGGGCGCAAGCCUGAUGCAGCGACGCCGCGUGAGGGAUGACGGCCUUCGGGUUGUAAACCUCUUUCAGCACCGACGAAGCGCAAGUGACGGUAGGUGCAGAAGAAGGACCGGCCAACUACGUGCCAGCAGCCGCAGUAA
rnacentral:rRNA from 1 species